rnacentral:SRP_RNA from 1 species
GCUAAGCCUUGUAAUAUGAGCUUGUAACCUAAGUGGGGGUAACAACGUGGUGGAAUGUUGGGAUAAUCUUGAUGGUUGGGCUUGUGGGCUAUUCUCUGACCUGUCCUAUCCAAGCACAGAGUUGGGCUACGCGGUCCAAAUGAAAGUAUGGGCUGUUUGGCUAUUAGAGUAGGGUGAAUUGAGUGAGACUGGUUUCACUGUGCAACGAAUAGUCCUCGCUUUGUGCAGUGUUAAGGAUAAUGAGCUGGUGCUUUCUAAUCUCAAUUUUUUUUUUUUUUGAAAAUAUAUCUAUUUUC